rnacentral:sRNA from 1 species
GAGUAAUGAGGAGCUCUGUGAAUAUGUUAAAUCUAGGCUUGAGGUAUCUGAUGACCUGGAAAAUGUGUGCAAUUGGGUAGUGGACACUUGUUUACACAAGAGAUUAUGGAGAAGUCUGGCGAGGAAGGAAUGCCUGAUCUUGCCCAUGUCAUGCGCAUCUUGUCUGCAGAAAAUAUCCCAAAUUUGCCUCCUGGGGGAGGUCUUGCUGGCAAGCGUAAUGUUAUUGAAGCUGUUUAUAGUAGACUGAAUCCACAUAGAGAAAGUGAUGGGGGUGCUGGAGAUCUAGAAGACCCAUGGUAGCCUUAAAAACCUUCUAAAAUGCUUUUGAUUCUGAAAAUUGGGGGAAAAAACUUUUAAUCACAAUUUUCUUCAAUACAAGGGGAAAAUAUUCUUGCGGAUUCCCAACGUUUUGUGAUAUGAGCAGAAAAUCAUUAGCAUUUCCCAUCAUUUGUUCAUAUUUGUGUUUUCUGACAGUUGCCACUUGUAGCAUUGCCUGUACUACAGUAUUUUUUGCCAACCUCAGGCAUACUCGUUACAUCUGUAUUGAACUUUUGGCCCUAGAAACCAGUGGAGUUAUUUCACCACAAAUCAACAAUGUGCCUGAGGUGCAUGGGAAAUAUAGUUAGCUAUACUCUGAAAAUACAUUAUGUUUUUUUUUCUUUAAACAAAACACACAA